GAAGCGGCUGCGAGCGGCCGGUCGGGUCGUCCCCGCUCCAGGAGCCGUGACCCCGGCGAGAGUUGGAACCACGGACCGUGAACCGGAAGGGGCUGGGCAGGGUGGCCGAGGGCUGCAGCGCGGCGGGGUGGGCCACGGUGCGCCGCUGCUUCCCCUGGGGUGCUCGGGACCCGCGCCCCGUGCUUGGAGCCAAGGGCAGGGGAAGGGUGGAGAAUUCUGCUCAUCCUUGGGUCAUGGAAGACCCCGAGAACAGCCCACAGGGGCUGCCGCGGACCGAGGGUCUGGGACCGGCGGAACCCUGCAGCACUCAUCCCUGAAUCCUGAAGGCCCAGUGUGGAGGAAGCGUGAGGGUGGGGAUGAGAGGGGCAGAGAUGGAUUGGAUGUGACAUGAAGCUGGAGGACAGAUGGAUGGAGGGACUCAGUGUGGAGAGAAGCAAGGGGAUCCUGCCCCCAGAGACCCCAAGGGGAUGGACACUAAAAGGCAACAAGUAUGUGUCUGCAUGGGUUGGUGGUCUCAGAGCUUCAGGGGAAGCCAGUUCCUGCUAGUUCUCAGAGCUGUUGUCUUCCCUCUACUCCGAGACCUGAGGUGGCCUGAGUCCCGACAGUCUUCCCUGAAUGUCCUACGCUGCAGGACCUCAAGAGAUGCAGAGUGGUUCCCCCAAACCUGUCAGGUGGAGCUUCACACCACUCCGAGUGGGAGAGAUCAGAGCCAACUUUAAAUUUUGAUCAAUGAAGAAAUGGGCUGUUUCAUAUUGAAAACAUAUUGGUGAAGACAUGAGAUCUUAGGAUUCUCUAACAUUAUUAUAGUAUUUCCCUGAAGUCUGGGAGCAUUGAGUGUUUCCAUAUGUCAUUCAUUUGAAAUAAGAAGAGCCAGGGAUUCGCAUCAACCCCACCAGAGGGAGGAAGAAGCAGGGAUGUGGAGAAGAAGCCGUGGCCUCCUCUGUGCUGGGGACCCUGGGGACAAAUGGGCGUUGGUGGCAUCCAGGUGUUACCCAGAAUUGUAGGGCAGGGAAGUGCUGAGUUCACAGGCCUGGCCCAGAAGCUUCUAAGGCCCCAGACACAGAAUGGGGCUGCAGGGGGUCUGAGUGUGGAGAAGGAUCCACCCCUCAGGCCCUAGAAAUCCCUUUGAGCAAUGCCUGCUCUGACUUAAACCUUGUUCUUGGAAGAUCUCUUUUGAAGUAUGCUCUCCCACCUAA